CAGAACGACACAACCUUAUUCAACACAUUCAACCAACUGUAAACCCAACUCAGGAUUGUUCACAAGAAAGACCUACAGCCUAAAAAGGAACUCGGCAAACAACCUUUCCAACUGUUUAACAAAAACAUAGCCAUUAGCCACCCAAGUAUUAAAGGUACUGCCU
rnacentral:lncRNA from 1 species